rnacentral:lncRNA from 1 species
CGCACCCGGCCCGCGGCACGGCUGCGCCUCCUCAGAAUGUCAGUUUCUUGAUGAAUUUGAAGUUUAUACCUGUGAGACUCUUGCCACAAUCUAUGCCGUGUGUCUAUCUCAACUGUGAAGUCAUAGGAGUUGAAGAAAAAUUCUCUUUCCUCCUAAUAUUGCUGAACCAUUCAAAACCCUUUGGAUGCAGCAAUGAAAAAUCUGCUCAUAGUCUUCAGACUAUGGAGGCUGGAGACACAGCUAUAAAGAAAGCAGUGAACCUGAUAAAGUGUCAACAGCAUCUUCAUGCUAGUUUUGAGGGUAUUAUGGUUAUCCUAACCACCCCUCACCAGAGGAGACUAUGAUUGAACCAUAUCUUGAAGAGUGAGCAGGUGUGUGGCAGGUAAAGAAG